rnacentral:misc_RNA from 1 species
GUAGGUCGACGCUAUCAAACGAUGUAGACAGAGCAAAAAUCAAGCCGGCCUACGCCGGUCACGAAGCAGAGCAAACAGCAGGCUACGCGUCCGCAGCCUGCACCGAGAGCGCUCGGCCAGAGGCCUCGCUACUUCCUAAUGAUCCUUCCGCAGGUUCACCUACGGAAA